GGUUUUCAUAUGUUUGUUAUCGCUAUCACAAUUAGGUGAAAUUGACCAAGAAGGUUACUGAUCAAGUAAGAAAUCUGGCCAAAGAUGAAGAUGAGGAACUGGCUGAAACCAACUCAUAUGAUGUGAUUCCUCCAUACGAUCAAGCUAAAGCCCUUGGUAAGACAAAUAUAGAUGUUGACCGGAUUGCCGCUGGAUUACCUUGUGGUAGUGAGGGAUUUCUUCUCAUGUAUGCUCGUUGGAGAAAACUUGAGAGAGAUUUGUAUAACGAACGCAAAGAGCGGUUUGAUAUAACACAAAUUCCUGACGUUUACGACUCUUGCAAAUAUGACCUCUUGCACAAUGCACAUCUAAAUCUUGAAGGCUUAGAUGAGCUGUUCAAAGUUGCUCAGGUACCAUAAUAGCCAAAUAUUGCUAUGAUUUUUCUGCCUAUAGUUAAAUUAUCCUCCCCCAUGUCAAUGAGAUCGAUAGAGAUUGAUGAGGAUUACGAAAAUUAUCGAAGAUUACAACUUACUAAAUAUUGCUUGUUUAAUAUAAUUCUGCAUUUAAUUAUAUCUAGGUUGUAAUUACACUUACCAUGUUUAGAUUGAUAGUACUCAUGCAUUACAUAAGAAAUUCCAAUGGGAAAAUCAUUCAGUCAAAAGUUUAUCAUAGUAUCAAAGCCUACCUCGUAGACUUUUACUGAAUCCUCAUUUUUACCUAGACAUAACUCAACCUUUGAGGUGUGGGUUUCUUGUGGUUGUCCAUGGUUGAUGGAAUUUUUAUCAAUGUGUGACUUGUCGUGGUCCUCGGUUGACAAAAUUUUUUGUCAAGUGUGACUGUUGAGGGGAGUGCAGUCCUGCCAUCCCGAAUCUGUUUUGAUGUCUAAGUUUUUAUCAUCAGUUGCCUCCAAUAAAAAGGUUUAGGAUUUUCAUUAGCUAAGAAGUUUGUUAUUUUGAAUUUUUCGAGAUUUCUAUGUGAUAACGGAAAAAUAGAGUAGUUAUCGGUCAAAAAAGAGAAAACAACAAAGUUUUCAUAGGGGGGCAAUGGAGAAGUAGACAAGCGUUAGGGUUUUAAUGGAAAGGCAGAAGAGCUUUAGGAUUGCAAUGGAGAGACAUAAGUUUUGUUGGAGAGAGGCAAAGGAGCAAGGAUUCGUGGGAAACGGGGGAUUCACCCCUUCAUCUAGCUGCACGAGCUGGGGAUUUGGGGAAGGUGAAAAAGAUGAUUAUUUUGAGUUUUGGAGUGAUUAUUGAAGGUCAAGUUUUACCUUGUGCCAAACAAGAACUCCAGUCAAAUGUUUUUUGAUCUGUC